rnacentral:lncRNA from 1 species
UAUUUCAGUCAGUUGACGGUUUAACAAAUCCAGUGGCCACUUAUAGCGAUGGAAUUCUGACGGCUUCGUUGACAAGAAGCAACACGAACUCUAACCCGAAUGUUUUUGAUCUUACUUAUAACUACUAUGUACUGUUUGCAAAAGGGACAAUUUCAGGAGGUACUUUUCCAUUUCCUUAGUUUAUAUUUCGUUUGUAUAUGAUUUAUUUUUUUACUUUGUAAAGACUGUACGGUAACUAUAGCUUAUAUCUACGUAACGUGGUUUCUGCUGGAUAUUGGUCACAUUGGCAAUCAUGUCACAUCUCCUUUUGACAUCGCGAUGUUCGUGAGGGCAUUCCGAUAUAUUGUUGCCAAAGAGAUUUUACUUUCGUUUUUGACUGGUAACCGAUCGUAUAAAUACGCGCUAACGUGGACAUUAUCGAGUGCAAAAUAACAUAAUUAAUAAUAUGAAAAUGUUUUCUUGUUAGAAAUAUAUAUAUAAGUAUAAAAUCAUUAAUAUCUAUGCACAUGUACAGAACAAUUGUGUUAAUACAUGCGGAAGAAUGUUGCAUACUUUUUACUUGUAUAUUUUGUUAACAACGAUUUUUUUAUGAAUAGCUUCAAAUAUUUUUUUCAUAGUGUUAAGAGAUUGUCUGUUUAACUUUACGCCAGCGACAAAUAAAAUUCAUUUUAGAGACUAUAAUACAAGUAUGUAAAUACGAAAAGAGUAUGAAUAUGGAUGAAUAUAAACCCUGCUUUGUACUGAACUGACAUGCUGAUCCGGAUUUUUUUAUGUAACAGAUAUGUCACCUUAGCCGGACACAUACAUCUGACUCCGAGCCGAACAACUGAACCGUUGUGUUGUUUUAAACGAGGAAUUCGGUUCGGAAUUGAGAUAUCUACUUUUGCUUUUGCUACAGUGUUGAUAUAGUUAUUCGUGCUUCAACGCAACAUUUUUAUUUAUGGCAAUAGUGGUUUAAUAUUUGUACAUUGUCGUCUAAGUGCAUUUCAAACGUUUUACUUUUAACAUUUUUAUCUUUCGAUUCUACACAAGGGCUUUAUGCACUGGUAUACAUAUUUAUUUGUUUUUUUUCCCAAAUUCCAGGGGAAAAAAGCCAGCAUUCUUUUACAGACAAAACCGAUGUAUUGGUAGACUUUCAGUCGACAAAGGAUCUCCAUGGGGGUGUGGCGAUGAUAAAACCUUUCACAUCCAUAUUGAUCAUGUUAUGCGUCUCUCAAAUUGUACUGUUUUCCAUGUAAAUACUAUCAACAAAUAGACAAAGAAAACGUCUGAUUAUUAGAGUAUAUCAUUUUGGCUUUUCAAUAUAACAAACAUAUACAAUCACAAGACACAUAUACAAUUCCAAGAGUUCGAUCUGCUCUAGCUCAGGGAAUCGUAUUGCUUGAUGGUUGAUGCAGUCUGGUAUAUAGAAAAACCGUGCAUGUUCGCCCCUCUGUUAGGAAAAUAACAAGCUUUUUAAAAGACUGUUAUGAAUGAUUGUGUGUUAAUUACAGAACAUAAAUUGAACAAAAUAAUGACGGGUAUGUGUUCUCAAUCAAUUAUUAAUUUGGCGGGAAACGAUUCUCACCAGAAAUUUCGUACAUUUACCAUUGAUACCAUUUUCUUUCAAAAACUAUGAAAAAAUUACAAUGAUUUCAUAAGAUUUUCAAAAAUGGCUUUUUUGAAACAACACGCAAUAAGAUCAUGGAAAGAAAAUUAUGGGUGAGCGGGCAAAAUUUUUAUUUGUACUAUGAUACAUAAAACAAGAGGAUUCCGAAUAGCUGACUUAAAAGUUUAAAAAAAAACAUCUUUAAGGUGCAAGACCACCAAAUCAAAAUCCCUAUCUAUUUGACCAAAUUUUAUAAUUUUUACACCUUUCUCAAUAUUUUACCUUAAGUUUAACUUCGUAGAAUCCAGGUAUACUUUUAUAAAUUGUGACUUGAAUGGAAAAUUGUCUCAUUGGCACUCAUCCAUUAUAUAUAUAUAUAUCCUGAAUCAUACAUGUAUCACCGUUUAACAUGUCAAUUUUUUUGAAAUUUUGAAAGUUUUAUAACGAAGAACUAACGUUCUAAAGCCAAGUACUACUAAAUAUAACCCCCAUAUACUAUAGAGCGCAUUUAUUCUCAAUUUUUAAUGUAAACUCAUGGACAAGUUAAUUUUAGCUCAAAAUGGUCUAAAUAUAUUUCUCUUGAUUUAUAAUUUCACUUUCAAAUAUAUGCGUAUGUAUGUAAAAUUCAUGAGUACGGAAAGUUAUAAACCAGGAGUGAUAUUUAGAUACGGUAGAUAUACUUGUUUCAUUUAGCAGGAAUUAAUGGGCGGCAUCAUCUUGGAUAGCUUACUUAGUUUAUUUUGGGAUAUUAUAUGCUUUUAACAAUUUGCUAACAUUUUGUCUUAGACAUAGAUUUAUGUAAUUCGUUGAGACUUAACAUUCAAGAAAUGAGAUAAAUUUAUUGAUAGAUUUACAAAUGAAAGAAUCUGUGUAGUGACAUCAUUUUUGUAGAUGACGUUUAUAGAAAAUAUUGCACCAUUAUCAUUAUUAUUGACACUUUUUAUGUGUUGGUCCUAUAAAUGACCCUGGUCCUAUAUAUAACCAUGAUGGCAUUUAG